AUCUACGGCCAUGCUACCCUGAACAAGCCUGAUCCCGUCUGAUCUCGGAAGCUAAGCAGGGUCGGGCCUGGUUAAUACUUGGAUGGGAGACUACCUAGGAAGACCAGGUGCUGUAGGCG
rnacentral:rRNA from 1 species